AGAGUAGGACGGAUGGCCGCUGCUUUGCCGUCCAGGCAAAGGAGAGGAAAGUCCGGGCUCCGCAGGAUAGGGUGCUGGGUAACUCCCAGUCCCGGUAACACGGAAAGGCAAGUGCAACAGAAAGCAGACCGCCCCGGGUAUUAUAAUAUUACGGGGUAAGGGUGAAACGGUGAGGUAAGAGCUCACCAGUCCUGCCGGUGACGGCAGGAGCUAGGUAAACCCCACCUGGAGCAAGACCAAAUAGGGGGAUGUCAAGGGUUAUCCGCCCGAAUCCCCGGGUAGGUCGCUCGAUCUCGAUGGUAACAUCGAGGCUAGAUGAAUGGUCAUCGUCCCGGAAGCAGGUGACUGCUCCGGGAAACAGAACCCGGCUUAUAGCCUGCUCUGACA
rnacentral:RNase_P_RNA from 2 species